AGCUCCAAUAGCGUAUGCUAAAGUUGCUGCAGUUAAAAAGCUCGUAGUUGGAUCUUAGGUCUCCGAGGGACCCGGUCUGCCCGAGAUGGGUGUGUACUGGUUCGUCGGGCCUUCACUUAUGGAUGCUCACCCCUGCUCUUAACUGAGUGGGGAACCCGAAGGGCGGCGGCGGGCCUCGCGCCCGGCGUCCGCCUGGAGCUCCGUAUCGUUUACCGUGAAAAAAUUAGAGUGUUUAAAGCAGGCGACUCGCUGCCUUGAAUACAUUAGCAUGGGAUAAUAGAAUAGGCUCUUGGUUCUAUUUUAUUGGUUUCUAGGACCAAUUGAAUGAUUAACAGGAACAGUUGGGGGCAUUUGUAUUCCGUUGUCAGAGGUGAAAUUCUUGGAUUUACGGAAGACAAACUUCUGCGAAAGCAUCUGCCAAGGAUGUUUUCA
rnacentral:rRNA from 1 species